rnacentral:rRNA from 1 species
UACGUAGGGGGCAAGCGUUGUCCGGAUUUAUUGGGCGUAAAGAGCGUGUAGGCGGCCACGCAGGUCCGUUGUGAAAACUCGAGGCUCAACCUCGAGACGUCGACGGAAACCAUCUGGCUAGAGUCCGGAAGAGGAGAGUGGAAUUCCUGGUGUAGCGGUGAAAUGCGCAGAUAUCAGGAAGAACACCCGUGGCGAAGGCGGCCAUCUGGCUCGGUGACUG